GGGGAAUUUUCCGCAAUGGGCGCAAGCCUGACGGAGCAAGACCGCGUGCGGGAAGAAGGCCUGUGGGUUGUAAACCGCUUUUGAUAGGGAAGAAGUUCUGACGGUACCUAUCGAAUCAGCCUCGGCUAACUCCGUGCCAGCAGCCGCGGUAAUACGGAGGAGGCAAGCGUUAUCCGGAAUUAUUGGGCGUAAAGCGUCCGUAGGUGGUUGUUCAAGUCUUCUGUCAAAGCGCGGAGCUUAACUCCGUAAAGGCAGAGGAAACUGAGCGGCUAGAGUGUGAUAGGGGCAGAGGGAAUUCCCAGUGUAGCGGUGAAAUGCGUAGAUAUUGGGAAGAACACCGGUGGCGAAAGCGCUCUGCUGGGUCUGCACUGACACUGAGGGACGAAAGCUAGGGGAGCGAAAGGGAUUAGAUACCCCUGU
rnacentral:rRNA from 1 species